CACACACCAUCUCGGCUGGUGUGCCAGGGGGGCGCGGGGAGGCUGCUUAGAGACCCUCUGGCAUUUGAGACUUUGCUGCUGCUUCUCACGUCACUUCUCCCAACAAACGUCAUGCCUCCAGCUACUCUGCACAGGCCACAGAUUCCGGCCCACAGUCCUCCUCCUCACACUGGGCUUCUGCAACUGCUGUUUCCUCUGCCUGAAAUUCAGAUAGAAGAAUUUGUUUCAGGAAGAGAAGCCACCUAACACCUAAGAAUUAAGUGUUGCAGACUGGGAGACUCCAAACAAAAAUCUGUUCGCCAGGUUCUGUCCCACUGUUUCUGGGUGGCCCAGCAAGAAUUUGUUUGCCACCUGCUGUCUUCCUGUGGAGUACCUGCUUUCCCUUUGACAUUCCAGGCCACUGCCUCCCUUCUUUGUUCAGAAAGGCAUUUAAACCUCAACUGCCCAAUGCGUCUUUGGGUCUCAAA